AGCUCCAAUAGCGUAUAUUAAAGUUGUUGCAGUUAAAAAGCUCGUAGUUGGAUUUCUGCCGUGGUGCGCCUGGCCCGGCCUCUAGGGGUUGUGAGCCGGCGCGCACCGGGCAUCCUUCGUGUGAACACGUCUGCCGUUGAUUCGGUUCGGGCGUGGGAACACGAUCGUUUACUUUGAAGAAAUUAGAGUGUUCAAAGCAGGCAUUUGCUGUGAAUAGGUUAGCAUGGAAUAAUAAGAUAGGGCUUCGGUUCUAUUUUGUUGGUUUCUAGGACUGAAGUAAUGAUUGAUAGGGAUAGUUGGGGGUGCUCGUAUUGACCGGCCAGAGGUGAAAUUCACGGAUUCGGUCAAGACGAACUUAUGCGAAAGCAUUCACCAAGGAUGUCUUCUUUAAUCAAGAACG
rnacentral:rRNA from 1 species